rnacentral:rRNA from 1 species
AGAGUUCGAUCCUGGCUCAGGAUGAACGCUGGCGGCGCGCCUAACACAUGCAAGUCGAACGGCACCUGCCCUCGGGCAGAAGCGAGUGGCGAACGGCUGAGUAACACGUGGAGAACCUGCCCCCUCCCCCGGGAUAGCCGCCCGAAAGGACGGGUAAUACCGGAUACCCCGGGGUGCCGCAUGGCACCCCGGCUAAAGCCCCGACGGGAGGGGAUGGCUCCGCGGCCCAUCAGGUAGACGGCGGGGUGACGGCCCACCGUGCCGACAACGGGUAGCCGGGUUGAGAGACCGACCGGCCAGAUUGGGACUGAGACACGGCCCAGACUCCUACGGGAGGCAGCAGUGGGGAAUCUUGCGCAAUGGGGGGAACCCUGACGCAGCGACGCCGCGUGCGGGACGGAGGCCUUCGGGUCGUAAACCGCUUUCAGCAGGGAAGAGUCAAGACUGUACCUGCAGAAGAAGCCCCGGCUAACUACGUGCCAGCAGCCGCGGUAAUACGUAGGGGGCGAGCGUUAUCCGGAUUCAUUGGGCGUAAAGCGCGCGUAGGCGGCCCGGCAGGCCGGGGGUCGAAGCGGGGGGCUCAACCCCCCGAAGCCCCCGGAACCUCCGCGGCUUGGGUCCGGUAGGGGAGGGUGGAACACCCGGUGUAGCGGUGGAAUGCGCAGAUAUCGGGUGGAACACCGGUGGCGAAGGCGGCCCUCUGGGCCGAGACCGACGCUGAGGCGCGAAAGCUGGGGGAGCGAACAGGAUUAGAUACCCUGGUAGUCCCAGCCGUAAACGAUGGACGCUAGGUGUGGGGGGACGAUCCCCCCGUGCCGCAGCCAACGCAUUAAGCGUCCCGCCUGGGGAGUACGGCCGCAAGGCUAAAACUCAAAGGAAUUGACGGGGGCCCGCACAAGCAGCGGAGCAUGUGGCUUAAUUCGAAGCAACGCGAAGAACCUUACCAGGGCUUGACAUAUGGGUGAAGCGGGGGAGACCCCGUGGCCGAGAGGAGCCCAUACAGGUGGUGCAUGGCUGUCGUCAGCUCGU